rnacentral:rRNA from 1 species
AAUGAAAGCUGGCGGCAGGCUUACUACAUGCAAGUCGAGCGAGCGGCGGACGGGUGAGUAAUGUCUGGGAAACUGCCUGCUGGAGGGGGAUAACUACUGGAAACGGUAGCUAAUACCGCAUACCAUCAGAUGUGCCCAGAUGGGAUUAGCUAGUAGGUGGGGUAAUGGCUCACCUCGGCGACGAUCACUAGCUGGUCUGAGAGGAUGACCAGCCAUCUUGUAACUUAGACACGGUCCAGCCUGCUACGGUAGGCAGCAGUAGGGAAUAUUGCGCAAUGGGCGCAAGCCUGAUGCAGCCAUGCCGGGGGUGUGAAGAAGGCCUUCGGGUUGUAAAACACUUUCAGCGAGGAGGCGUUACUCGCAGAAGAAGCACCGGCUAACUCAGUGCCAGCAGCCGCGGUAAUUC